UCAUGAUGAUAUACCAGCUGGCACCAGUCAUAGAGUGACUUGUACUCCCUUCAUUGAUGACUAAAACGCUGUGGUCCACCAGACCAUUCCUGAC
rnacentral:snoRNA from 1 species